UAAAAAUAAAGAUAUUGAUUUUUAACUGGAUGUUACUGUACUGUACACAAUUUAAUGUAUGAAAUUGGAAGAAAAAGUGUUUUUUAAAGAGUGAACUUGGUCUAGGAUUCGGGCUAGCAGCUUACUUUAUCUGAUGCAAUUGGCUCUAUUUCCCAUCCCACAGCCUUCUCUCCCUUGCUCUUUCCUCUCUGAUUAUAUGCUCCCAGCGUCUACCGCACCAUCGAAUACAAUCAAAUUAGCGUAUCUUUCUCUCUCCUUAUUUCUCUUUUUUGGAUCUCACUAUAGGGGUUUUCUAUACCACCGUCGUCCAUAGCUUGUCGACCGGGACCUUGAAUUAUAAAAGACAAACAAGUUUUUCAAUUUAGUGAGUUCUUCAAAUUUUAAAAAUUAGAUAAAAGAGAUUAUUUUUUCUGUUUUUUUUACAUAUUUUUGCUCCAAGAACUUUGUUCAACAACUGAUCAAAGUUAUUCGAUAACUUUGAUAAUUAUUAAGAUAACUAAUGCAAUUAUUGAACAACUGUUACAGUUAUUUAAGCAAUUUUAUCGACUCAUAUAUAUAUAUUUUUUUAAUUAAAGACUUGGAGGUCUUCAAUUUAUUUUUCUCUUGUCGACCAUUACCACUGCUCCAACGAAGUAUCCUUUAUCCAGUGACUCUUACGUUUUUGACACCACCACAGCUCGAGGAUCGCUACCACUGCUACGAUGAAGUACCCCUUCUUCGGCGACUCUAAGGUUUUCUUUCUUCUUAUCUUUGGGUUGGGUUCAAGUUCCAAGGCAGCACAUACCAUUGAUCACUGACCUCUGCCACUUCUUCGACGAAGUACUUCUUACCUCACCGAGUUCCAGUUUCUAUCUUCUUAAACUACUUUCCAGAUUUGCUUUUUUGUUGACUCUAGUUCUUGUUUUUUUUAAAUUUGUUUCCAUUGUUAUCUGCAGGUUUCUCCCGUGUUUCUAUUUCUCUUUUCAAUUCUGCCUUGCCAUUUACUGUUUCUGGUUUUAAUUCAUCUCUUUGGUUUCUAUUUCUUGUUUCAAUUUUGCCUUGCGUUGGAUAUUUUGUGUUCUAAUUUUGUUAUAGGUUUUAUAUUCAUUGUUUUAGUUCUGUCCUAUAUCUAUUUGUGGCUCUAAUUUUACAUUUUUUGAUAUAAUUCUGCCAACAGUUCAUAUUUCUUUUUUAAUCUUUGCUUGCUGUUUUAUGUUAGUUGUUCAAAUUUUGCUGCCUUUGUUUUCUGGUUCUUCGUAGUUAUCCAAUUCUUUAGUUGCUAUUGAUUGUUUCCUUGUCAAAUUUCUUAUACAAAUUGUGUCAUUUGCCAUAUAAUUUGAAUACGUUUACAUUUCUUAAUUGUUCGAUCCUCUGCUUUUGUAAUUAUAAUCUGUUUCUUGAUUCUUUAGUUUUGUGAUUAAAACUGAUUACUUUCCCUAAGUCAUAGCCUAAUAUAUGUUCCCCUUGUAGCUUACACCUUCUUUGGUAGCUUUGGUAGACGUUGAUGGACAAAGGUCACGCCGUCAGUCGAGGGUGAGGGCUAGGAGUGGUAAGUGGGUUAAUAUUCCCAUAAGUUGAGAGUAAGAUCUUGGAAUAUAUGGUCUUUCAUGCAACAUUCUAAAAAUGAGAAAGAUUAAUAUAACAUGUAUCCAGGAGACUAAAUGGGUAGGUAUCAAGGUUUGGGAUGUGUUCGUGUUUUAAGUCGUGGUACUCAAGAAGCUCGAGGAAUAAGAGUGGAGUAGGAAUUUUUGUAGACAAGGACCUUAGGGAAUAUGUGAUGGAGGUUAGGAAGAUCAGUGAAAGGAUGAUGACGAUUAAGUUAGCAUAGGGGUGGGGCUUAGUUUGAACAUUAUUUGUGCUUACAUUUUUGACGAGGAGGUCAAGAAGCACUAUUAAGAGGAUUUGGAUAAGGUGCUGAGAGGUAUACCACACACUAGGAAGAUACUCAUUGGUGGAGAUUUCAGUGGAAACAUUGGGGUAACUUCUAGUGGCUUUGAUGAUGUUCUCUAGGCUUUGGUUUGGGGAUAAAAAUAGCGGUAGAACCUCACUAUUUUGCUAAAGCCUUUGAGUUGGUAAUAGCUAACUCAUGCUUUUUGAAGAAGGAAAACCACUUGGUUAUCUUCUGUAAAGUAGUGGAUAUAACUCAAAUAGACUACUUACGCUUGAGUAAGGGAGUUGGAGGCCUUUGUAUGGACGAUAAGGUUAUCUCGAGCGAGCGUCUUACUAUCCAACAUACAUUUUUGAUAAUGAACUUGGAGAUUAAAUGAGGGAGGAAGAAGAAGAAUAUUUAUGUCUGACCAGGAUUUAAAUUGGCUAGCUUGACCCCUGUCUUUUGUGUAGAAUUAAAUGAGAAGUUGAUGGUGAUAAGGUCUUAGAGUAAUAGAGGGGAUGCAAAUAUCAUGUGGGAUAAUACUACUAGUUCCAUUAAGAAAGCAACUAGAGAGGUACUAGGGGCGUCGUGGGGAAAUUUUGGUGGCCGCCAAAGGUUCUGUUGGUGGAAUGGAGAAGUCCAAGGCAACGUGAAAGCUAAGGUUGCUUAUGAAAAGUUUAUGGAAUGCAAAGAUGAGGAAGAAAGAGGGACGGGUAAGGAAAUUGAUAAAGCGACGAUGAGGAUGACUAACUUAGCGGUUGCAACAACAAAGACGACAACUUUAAGCGACUUUAUACUAAACUAGAGGACAAAAAUGGAUAAGAAACUUUAUAGGCUCGCAAAUACGUGGAAGAUAAAGGCUCAAGACUUGGAUCAAGUGAUGUGAAUUAAGGGUGAGGAAGGCAAGGUAUUGGCGGAAAGACACUUAUCAAGAAAAAAUGACAAGCUUACGUCUAUAAGCUAUUGAAUAAAGAAAGGGGACAAAGUCAUUGUGCUGGGUGAUUUGAAGCACUGUGAGAGACAUCUAUAUUUUGGGUAUUGUAAGUGUAUUAAGGUUGAUAGGGGUUAUGCCCUCUAUUUGUAGAAUGAGCUGGGGAAGAACGAUCGAACUUAAUGAUAUUUUGGUGGGAUUUUGGAAGGGUACAACUAAGGAAGGUAUGGAGUGGAUGACUGGUUUGUUUAAUGUCAUUUUAAGAUGCCUAAUUUCCUAAAGAAUAGAGGUGGAGUACAAUGGUUCUAUUGUACAAAAGAAACAGUGAUAUCUAAGAUUAUAACAAUUAUAGAAGUAUAAGUUAUUAAGUCACACUUAACUUAAGUGUAACUUCUGGUUGCAUCACAAAAACAAUAUCUUUUUUAUAAGUCACACCAUGAAAGUUUGUAAGUGGUGGAGAUUAGGGUGAGUAGGGUUGUGUCCAAUUAUGUGAAUCAGUAUGGAUUCAUAACUGGGUGAUCUAAUACGAAAGCCAUCCAUCUUAUGAGGAGACUGGUGGAGAAAUAUUGAGAAAAGAAGAGGGAUUUGCAUAUAGUGUUCAUCAAUCUUAAAGAAGUCUAUGACAAUUAAAGUCUCAAGAAAAGUUCUAAGGAGAUACCUAGAGGCUAGAUGUGUAUUGGUGGUUUACAUUAGAGAAAUAAAAGACAUGUAGGAUAGAGCUAAAAUGUAGGUUAGAAUGGUAGAAGGAGACUUGCAGCACUUUCCAGUGGAAAUAUCGUUGCAUCAUGGAUGAGCUGUCAAUUAGUUCCUAUUUGCCUUGGUGAUGAAUUGGCACGGACAUUCAAGAUGAGGUGUCUAGGUGUAUGUUAUUUGAGAAUGAUAUAGUACUAAUUAAGGAGACGUGUAGCAGAGUUAAUGCUAGGUUGGAGAUGUGGAGAUAAAAUUUGGAGGCUAAAGGAUUUAGGUUGAGCAAGAUCAAAACAAAAUAUUUGGAGUGCAAAUUCAGUAAAGGGUUGCAUGAGGUAAGAGUGGAAGUGAAGCUUGACACACAUGCUAUUCUCAAGAUAGACAAUUUCAAGUACUUGAGUCUAUAAUCUAGGGAUAUAGUGACAUCAAUGAUGAUAUCACACACCAUAUUGGUACAGUGUUGAUAAAGUGGAGGGUUGUGCGAUUAAAAGAUACCAUAGAAACUUAAAGGUAAGUCUUAUAGAGUGAUGGUUAGACCGACAUUGUUGUAUUGGGGAAAGUGUUGGUCAGUCAAAGAGUCUUCUUGUGCACACCAUAAAGAUUUCCUUAUUUUGUUGUUGUUGUUGCAUUUUGAAUGAGGGAGACAAGAGUAGAUGAGGGGUAGUUUUGUUCAUUAGGAUUUCGCCGGGCCAUGAUUUGGUCUGUUGAUAGAUUAAAAGAUAGGAAAUUAUGCUUAGGGUCUUCUAAAGUAUUUGAUCUUGAAUUUUUAUCCCUCAAAAUGUGUAGCCUUGAAUUUUUAUCCAUGCUAAAUAAGUUCUAAUGUUUCCUUAUAAUACAAAACUCGUGGUCUGUUAAAUAGGUUCACUCUGUCUUGAUCAUCUUCCUUAUGGCCAAACAUUAGAACUUAUGUGUCAUGACCCAAGAUUACCCCUAGUCGUAACACGGUGCAUAGAACCACAAGUGAUCCCAACCUAAUCCAUGUACUAACAUAAUGCUUGAGCAACUGAUUAAAAAAUAUUUAAAAGUUAAAUUAACUGAGCGGAAGCAUAAUUAUGAGAAAAGUUGUUUCUAUAGGUUUACUAUUGGAAAGUUUAUUUUCAACAUUUGUAUUCUGAAAAGAAAGAGAAACUGAUUACAAAAAUUCUAACUAUCUAUGAAACCUAUACUAAUACCGACUAUAGGUAGUCGAGACAUGAACCUUAACUAUCCUUAAUCAAUACCUACGAAUAAGAAAUUAAAGUACAAGAAUUGCAAUUGACUUGAGUCCUAUCUGCCUGAUUAUGAUCCUGAGAAUAAGCACCUGAAACUAUAUCAUAUGAAAAAUGUAGGUAGAAGAGGUAUGCGAUCGGAAAUUUGGAAUGUACUGAGUAUGUGAGAUAUGCACUAGUCAUGAAAAUACUUAAAACAUGCCUUGAAAUAGAGAAUGUAAGUCAUUUGCUGAGCUAUAUACAUUUAAAACAUGUUUGUAAGUAAAACCUGUGAUAGUUUGAAAAUUAAUAGUAUAAAAGAAAGUUUAACUAAAUUGAGGGGUAUGUAUGAAUACUGGGUCUAAAACUAUGGGAUGAGAACUGAUGCAAUGAGCAAGUAACAUGUACUGAAUGAAAACUGAAUAACGGAGUACAAAGUCAUGCACAAUCUAAAAAUUGAGCAUAAUCUGAAACAUGAACUGGGGACUAUGAGAUCUAACAAUAACCGACAAUACACCAAUAUGAUCAAAUCUGGGUUUAACCUGUAAUCCCAGUUGAAAGGGUGCUAGUACCUUGACAAGGGUAUCAACACUGGCUGGCGUGGAUCUACUAAACUGCUGUCCCGAAGGACUAGGGUAUCAGUCCUCAACUGGCGGGUGACCCCUCAUAACCUACGGUGGCACUAUAGUUCUGGAACUUAGCGACUUUUACUAAAGGUCUCGAUCCUCAACUGACGGGUGAGCCUUCAUCAUUGCGUUGACUUGGUGCUAAGUACUACUACCAACUGAGUGACACUGAAACCUGUACUGUUUAUUAUGAUUAUAUUCUGAAAAUAUCGACAUUGGAUAAUCUGAAGUGCUAAAUAACAUGUAAACUAAUAUAUGCAUGAAUUUCUAGGUAUCGAGUGUUCAUAACCCACCAGCUCUGACUAAUGCAACUGAACAUGAUAAUAUUAAAAGUUGAUCAUAACAGAAAAAAGGGAAAUUUCAUAGCACGAAUCCAAAAUCAUGAAUUUACCAACAUACCGAGGGUUAUUCUAAGUCUACAAAAAUAUUAUAUUUCAUAGGAAAAUACGGUAUGCCUACUAAUAUGGAUAUAAAUAGUACUUAAUAGUCUUGAAAUUGAUAAAUCUCAUAUAACUUGAUCAUAUGCUUGAAACCAUAUCUAAUAUCAUGUAAAUCAUGCAUGAAUUUGAGAAUAGCGUGAGAAACCAUGAAUGAUCAUUAAAACAUACUUACGAGUGGCAAAUAUACCAUGGAGAAUUGAAUUUAAGCUUAGAGUAACAAUUGUUUAAAACCCUCAUUUAUGAAGAUUACAAAAUUCUUGAACGAAAUCAUAAUUUGGGCAUGAGGAUGAAAGGAGAUCCUCAUUGAAUACCUACAUACCUGAUUACUUUUGAUUCUUACAUUGAAGUUUUGAGGAUUUGAACUUGGAGAUGAAGACCCCUAAUUUCUUGCCUUGGAGGAGUGGAAAAUCACAUGUUUCUUGAGUAAUUUGUGUGUUGUGUUGAGAAUGAGGGUUUUGGAGCUAUUUAGGCUUUAUAUUUAACCUUAGAAUAGCUUAAACGACAUAAUUUGAGGUUAAAUGAGUGGGAAAAGACCAAAAAAACCCCUGAAAUAUCACCUGGAAAACUCCUGGAAAUAGUUCCACCGGCUUAGGCAAUGACUCAUCAGGUCUGUCCACGUGUCAUUGAUUGAGUUGUGGUCAAAGGACCUAAAUUCGACCCCUAGUGCUAUGGCAACGACUCCCUCCUGAUGACCUACCGACAAUGAGUCGUUGUCAGUUGUCACUGGUUACUUUGGUAGUGCUUCAGUAAUUUGGUCAUAAAUUUUUAUUCUAAUAUCGCAUUAAGACCAAAUUGGUGGAGUUGGAAAGAUAAUUAAAUUAUCUAUUUGAUGGUGGAUCUUGAGCUCAAAAUCUCUUAGUAAUCAAAAGUUAUGUUUGUUUAAAGACGACUAUAAUUAUAUUUUUCAAAAGAAUUUAAUCGCCAAGGAAUGAUUUGACUUAUCUAUAAGCUAGGAGCUAUUUGUAACCUUAAUAUGUAUCUAACUCUUUAUUAAACUACCAAAACAUGAUUUUUGACUUUUCAUAUACUCAUGUGUCUUGGAUUUUUGGAGUGUUACAAUAUCUCCCCCUCAGGGUCAUUAAUCCUCGAAUGAAGAUUGACUUGGCUGAAAGAAUAGGAAAAGAGUUGUAAUCUCUGACACAGAAUUCUAGAAGAUGAAUAUGAACAUGAUGAGUAAAUUUUCAACCAAAACUUUGACUAGUUUUAAAAUUAAGGAACUCGCUAGUACUGUCUGGCUGAAUUCUGUAAUUGGAUAUCUAAACAUGAUACAAUUUCUAAAUCUGGAUAUCUAUUAUAAUUGGAACUAAUUUAGACUGGGAGAAAAGACCCAACUGAGUUUACACAGGAUAAAUAAAAAUAAGGAACCUUAUAGAAAUAGGCAUAUGAAUGAAACUCAGGGUAGUAAGACUAGAUGAAAAGAUGAGAAAACAUAGGAGCUUGUCUGUUUGAACAUUAAACUGAAUUGCUGGCUAUACAGACCGGCUUAUACUAAGAGUUUUAUAACUCAACGAAAGCAUUCCUGGCAUGAACAUAUAAUUAGAACUGAAAAGUGAUAUCUAAUAACAUGAAAUUUCUAAGAGUCUAUGGGAAAGAAAUAUUUGUUACCUUCAACACUCCUUGUUAGAAGUUCUAAUAACAUUAGGGAGCAAAGAAUUUUGGGUAUAAUCUGAGUGAGAUAUCUGAAUAAGGAUUAUAACAUGAUUUGAGCAUCCAAGUCUACUAAUUUAAGAUCAUAGAAAUGGGAAUGACUUAGAGUUGAACAUGAGACACUUCUAAUCUAAAGCUACUUAUCAUGAAACAAGAGUAUCUUAGGUCAAAAGUAAGGAUAGGAAUAUGUAAUACCCUGAAAAAUCCGAACCAAUAUUAGAGCCAUGUAGCAAGCUCAUGAAUAGUACAUCAUGGUUCUUUUAUAGUUUUAUGAGUAAGUUAUAUGUAUAUUAAGACUUCAAAUAACUCCGAGCUAUCAGACGAAUCAAAACAUUCCUUACCGAUUGAAUUCUUGAGAAGGAUAUUGGUAUAGUCAACUUCAAACGAGUAUAUAUAUUAUUAUACUUGUAAUUUUUGAGCUCAUGACCUAUCAACAGAUAGAUAAUUGAAUUAGCUUUCCAACGAUACCAAUUUUGCCUAAAUCCGAUAUCGGAGCAAAGAGUUAUUCUUAUUUUACUCCAGCAUGUCAGGCUGGAAGUAGUGUGACGACAUUCGUGGUAGCUUACCACAUUUGUGACUCCCUAUCACGAAGGUCAUCAGCCUUAGGAAGAAACCAGCUCCUAAGUGACGACAUUCAUGGUAGCUUACCACAUUUUUGACGCCAUGUCACAAAUGUCGUCAGCCUUAGGCAGAAUCCAGCUCCUAAGUGAUGACAUUUGUGGUAGCUUACCACAUUUUUGACGCCAUGUCACAAAUGUCGUCAGCCUUAGGCAGAAUCCAGCUUCUGUGUGACGACAUUUUUGACGGCUUGUCACAUUUUUGAUGCCAUGUCACAAAUGUCGUCAGCCUUAGGCAAAAUUCAGCUUCUGUGUGACAACAUUUUUGACGGCUUGUCACAUUUUUGAUGCCAUGUCACAAAUAUCGUCAGACUUAGGCAGAAACCAUCAAUUCCAGCUUUUGUGUGACGACAUUUUUGAUGGCUUGUCACAUUUUUGACGCCUUGUCACAAACGUCGUCAGCUAUUAUUUUCAGCAACUGGGAAUUUAUUUCAUAAGGGUAUUUUGGUCUUUUUCCUUCACUUCCCACGACUUAUAACCCUCAGGGAACGUAUUAUCUUCUAUUCUCUUUAGUUAAAAUAUCUCAAAAAGCUCUCUCAUACACUUUCAACCAUAAGAUUAGGGUUUCCUCUCAAGAUCAUCUCCUCAGGAACAAGAACAUUCUUUCCCAAAGGGGUUAAACCCUAGUCAAGAAAAAUCAAGGGCAAGCCUAAGGAUUUCUUCAGGAACCUUNNNNNNNNNNNNNNNNNNNNNNNNNNNNNNNNNNNNNNNNNNNNNNNNNNNNNNNNNNNNNNNNNNNNNNNNNNNNNNNNNNNNNNNNNNNNNNNNNNNNNNNNNNNNNNNNNNNNNNNNNNNNNNNNNNNNNNNNNNNNNNNNNNNNNNNNNNNNNNNNNNNNNNNNNNNNNNNNNNNNNNNNNNNNNNNNNNNNNNNNNNNNNNNNNNNNNNNNNNNNNNNNNNNNNNNNNNNNNNNNNNNNNNNNNNNNNNNNNNNNNNNNNNNNNNNNNNNNNNNNNNNNNNNNNNNNNNNNNNNNNNNNNNNNNNNNNNNNNNNNNNNNNNNNNNNNNNNNNNNNNNNNNNNNNNNNNNNNNNNNNNNNNNNNNNNNNNNNNNNNNNNNNNNNNNNNNNNNNNNNNNNNNNNNNNNNNNNNNNNNNNNNNNNNNNNNNNNNNNNNNNNNNNNNNNNNNNNNNNNNNNNNNNNNNNNNNNNNNNNNNNNNNNNNNNNNNNUGCAUUAUAGCUAAAUUGUGACUAAGUGAAGGAUUCAUGAUAUGCAACCAUAUUCCAAUGAUUUUCAUGUUGAUAUUGUGUCUUGUAAAUGUUGUUGGGAUGUUCAUGAACUAGUCUUAUGAGAUUAUGCCAUGCGUACUUGCAAAUCCUACUUAUGUACAAAAUGUAUGAUAUCCAUGCACUUCAUGGAAUUCCCCAAGUUAUGAUAUUAUGGGUUGUUGAUGUUGGUCACAUACUCAAGUCAGUCAUGUGUGUCAGUUUCCUUCCAUCGAGUCCUGGGGGUAUUCGUACCCGAAAAAUAUAGUUGUGUGCCUAGAGCCAUGUCAUGUUAUCACGAUACUCUCAGUUAAGCCAUGAUCUAUAGAAUUCAGUCAGUCAUGUGACUCAGGAAAACUCAGAAAUCUUAGUAGUCUGAGUAGUUCAGUAAUCUCAGUACUCAGUCUGUAACUUCAGUAUUCACAGUCAAUCUCAGUAACUUCAGUACUCUCAGUCAGUCCUUUGAACUCAGUACAUUUUGUUAGUCAUCGAAAUUCAGUAAACUCAGUUUAGCUCCGCUAAAUAAUACCACUAGUAUCAGUUCAACUAAUUAGAUCUGUUCAGUUAUUCAGUUCAUCCCAGUUAUUUAGUUCAGUGUCUUUCAGAUGAGAGUAGGAUUCAGCACCGAGCGAACCUAGGGAUAGGGGCUCACCCGCUAGAAUAGGACUGAGAUUCCUAGAAGCAAUCCCUAAGUUCUAGAACUACGUUGCCAGCAUAGGUACGAGAUGUCACCCGUUAUCUAGGACUGACAUACUAAGGGGUCACCCGUUAGCACAUUUAUAUGUAUAGGACUGAUCCCAGGAGUCACCCGCUAGAUUAGGACUGACUCCACAACAGAUGUCUUUACUGGUGGUGCGGUACUUAUACCCUUCCAGUCAGGGCAGAGAUUAGACCCCAGUCAGCUUAGCUUGGGGCAUGUCGGUUAGAUGAAUACACCCUACAGUUUCAGUUAUAGAUUCAGGACUGUCAGAUACAGUCAACUCAGCUUAGUAGUACAGAUUCAGUACUGUUAGAUACAGUCAGUGCUUAUCAUUGUAAAUAGACUUAAAGAUCACCCACUAUAUAGGAAUGAUCUCAGACUAAGUCAAAUUAUCCUUAUUAUCAGUAUACUCAACCAGACUAGUUCUUCAUAAUUCAAACUAUCAAAAAUAGUCGUUCAUCUAUUCAGUAUCUCAGUAUCAGUACACUCAUGUUGUCAGUAUUCAGACUCAGUAGUCAGUAUCUCCACGAGUUCAGUUACAGUUAUGUAUGCAUAUAUGUAUUCUCACGUUCAUAUUAGUCAACAUUGUUCAUGCAUAUAACCCUUUGUAUUUAGCCUACCUCACUCGUAUACUCAGUACAUUCAGAAGUACUGACGUAUUUGCGCUAUGGUGCUUUCUCUUAUGUUACACCAUAGGUUCAGAGGCACGAGCUCCAGAUCAGCAGUAGCAUUUCAGUGUUCAGAGUUUGCAGUGAGUCCUUCUCAUUCGAGAACAAUAUGAUUAUUGCUAUAUUUACUAUUUAGUUUCUAGAUGGAGUUAGUUGGAGACAUGUUCCUUCAACUCCUUAUUCAGACAGUUUAGAGGCUUUCAGACUACAGCAUGUCAUACAGUUAUUAUAGUUUUGUUUUGGUAUUGUUAUACCGUCUUCAAAUAUUAUUCUUAUUAGAUGUUUAUUCAGUUGAACCUUGCGGCCUUGCAGUACAUAUUUUCCGCAUUUUCAUGUUAUAUUAUGUAGUAUACAGGUACAGAUAUCAGUCAUGGGUUAGCUUGUGGUCCUUUGGGGUCAUGAGCACCGUGUAGCAUUCCUGUUUAGAAAAUCGGGGUGUUACAGAAUACUACGAGUUUAGCAAAAAAACUGAAACUUCAAACUUAGCAAUAUUUCUCAUCUAUGAUUCCUUCUUACGAACAUAUGACCCUUAGCCAGCUGAAACUUCUAACUUUAUUAUGGGUACACUACAUAUGACUGCUAAAAGCUAUGUCUAGCCUAACUAAAUGCUCUCACUCUAUCCAAUAUUAACUUAAAGACACAAGGCUCUGCCACUUAAAGGACUACACUGGUCCUAACCACGGAAAUACUAUAUUCGAUAUUCACUUGGAGCUAUCACCCUUAAAGUUGCAUUUCUUCUUGCUACCUUAAACAAUCAACCUCAAGUAUUAGUCAAAGAGUCAUUAAUCACCAUAAGCCA
rnacentral:lncRNA from 1 species